rnacentral:sRNA from 1 species
UGGUUGAAAUAACGACGAUAUAAAGUCAAAAAUCUUUAUUCUAACUCGAAAAAUACAUAGUGGUAAAUGAUUUUUGACUUUAUAUCGUCGUUAUUUCAACC